UACAGAGGUCUCAAGCGUUGUUCGGAUUCAUUGGGCGUAAAGGGUGUGUAGGUGGCGCGCUAAGUCGGGUGUGAAAUUUCGGAGCUUAACUCCGAAACUGCAUUCGAUACUGCCGUGCUUGAGGACUGGAGAGGAGACUGGGAUUUACGGUGUAGCGGUGAAAUGCGUAGAUAUCGUAAGGAAGACCAGUGGCGAAGGCGGGUCUCUGGACAGUUCCUGACGCUGAGGCACGAAGGCCAGGGGAGCAAACGGG
rnacentral:rRNA from 1 species